rnacentral:rRNA from 1 species
GGAUGACCGUGCCGGAAGAAUAACCACGGAUAACUACGUGCUAGCAGCCGCGGUAAUACGUAGGGUGCUAGCGUUCAUCGAAAUUACUGGGCGUAUAGCAUGUGAAAGCCGUGAGGUAAGACCGAUGUGAAAUCCCCGGGCUCAACCUGGGAACUGCAUUAGAGACUGCUUCGCUUCAGUGUGGCAGAGGGGGGUGGAAUUCCAUUUGUAGCAGUGAAAUGCGUAGAGAUGUGGAGGAGUACCGAUAGUGAAGGCAACCCCCUGGAUCAAUACUGACACUCAUGCAUUAAAUACCUGGGUAGCAAACAGGAUUAGAUACCCUGGUAGUCCACGCCCUAAACAAUGUCAACUGGUUGGCGGGUCCUCCUUGACUUGGUAACGAAGCUAACACGUAUGGUAGAUCUUCUCGAGAGGAC